ACUUACAACGAGCACAGCAGGAUCGAACAUGUGCAGCUAUAUAGGAGUAUACUCAUGGAUGUAGAAGUUGCGGCCUGCAACUUGUUAUUAGCUACCGUCCAAGCUGUCAAAGUGUGCAUGGCUCUUGUCUAUCUUUUUUAGGUGCUUUCAGACAUUCAUGUACUAAUCACAGACAUGGGAAGACUAUAAGACGUCAAGAUGAAAGGCUCCUAGCAGCUCUCGGUGUUCCCAACGAAACUGGCAGAAUGGCAGUGGCUGAUUACAAGCUGCCUUUGGUGAACAAAGAAACCGUGACCACAUUAUAAUCCGAGCAGAGCUCCAAGCCUGCAUUCUGAUGACACCUUACACAACGGCUCUCUGUUAUGGGGGAAGCUGGUACUUAAGAAGCUUUACUGCGGGCAUCCUACCCACGAUUUUCAGACAGUUUGGGUGGAAACUUAAGCUAGACUCUAGGCUAGCGGCGGAAAAAGAGCUUCAGUGAUGUGCAUGUCUACAGUGUCAUGGAAGGUAAGUUUAGAGGGCUGCUGUUUGACUGGGCAUAAGUGCAGUGACUCUUACUCACAAAA